AUGACUCCUCCUUCCACCCCUAGCCAUGACGUCCAACCUCUAACGCCGCCUGAAACCCUAGCCCGAAUCCGACAGAGGUGCAGCAGCACGGUAUCCCCUCCAAAAGCAGUUGAAGGAAGGGACGGAUCAUGGAGAAGCUGCAAGGGCCGCAUCGAGCGCGCACGCACGCCACCGUCCCUCGGAGGGCGCCUUGCUGCUAGGGCUCGCCAACUACGCGGACGAGGAGGAGGAUGA
rnacentral:rRNA from 1 species